UAGAGUUUGAUCAUGGCUCAGAUUGAACGCUGGCGGCAGGCCUAACACAUGCAAGUCGAGCGGAAACGAGAAUAGCUUGCUAUUCGGCGUCGAGCGGCGGACGGGUGAGUAAUGCCUGGGAAAUUGCCCUGAUGUGGGGGAUAACCAUUGGAAACGAUGGCUAAUACCGCAUAAUAGCUUCGGCUUAAAGAGGGGGACCUUCGGGCCUCUCGCUUCAGGAUAUGCCCAGGUGGGAUUGGCUAGUUGGUGAGGUAAAGGCUCACCAGGGCGACGAUCCCUAGCUGGUCUGAGAGGAUGAUCAGCCACACUGGAACUGAGACACGGUCCAGACUCCUACGGGAGGCAGCAGUGGGGAAUAUUGCACAAUGGGCGCAAGCCUGAUGCAGCCAUGCCGCGUGUAUGAAGAAGGCCUUCGGGUUGUAAAGUACUUUCAGCAGUGAGGAAGGGUGUGUAGUUAAUAGCUGCAUACUUUGACGUUAGCUGCAGAAGAAGCACCGGCUAGCUCCGUGCCAGCAGCCGCGGUAAUACGGAGGGUGCGAGCGUUAAUCGGAAUUACUGGGCGUAAAGCGCAUGCAGGUGGUUUGUUAAGUCAGAUGUGAAAGCCCGGGGCUCAACCUCGGAACCGCAUUUGAAACUGGCAGGCUAGAGUACUGUAGAGGGGGGUAGAAUUUCA
rnacentral:rRNA from 1 species